rnacentral:rRNA from 1 species
ACGAACGCUGGCGGCGUGGUUCAGGCAUGCAAGUCGAACGAUCUCGCAAGAGAUAGUGGCAGAAGGGUUAGUAACACGUGGGCAAUCUACCCCCGAGUCGGGGAUAACAUCUCGAAAGAGGUGCUAAUACCCGAUAACAUUGCGAUCCGGCAUCGGAAUGCAAUCAAAGGUGGCGCAAGCUGCCGAUUGGGGAGGAGCCCGCGGCCUAUCAGCUAGUUGGUGAGGUAAUGGCCCACCAAGGCUUUUGACGGGUAGCUGGUCUAAGAGGACGAUCAGCAACAUUGGGACUGAGACACUGCCCAGACUCCUACGGGAGGCUGCAGUCGAGGAUCUUUAGCAAUGCCCGAAAGGGUGACUAUGCGACGCCGCGUGCAGGAUGAAGGCCUUCGGGUCGUAAACUGCUGUCAGGGAGGAAGAAACCUACGUCAUAAAUAGUGACGUAGCUGACAUCACUCCCAAAGGAAGCCACGGCUAACUCUGU